ACAGAUCUGUUACCAUGCCCAUUUUUAACAGUCUUGAAUAAGAAGAAAUUGGACCCGUGGAUAAGGAGUUCAAGAUUCAUCGUUGUCCUACCAGCAGAACCACUGUUCCCCAAAAGAAAAGCUUCAAGAAUUAUUAUGAAGGAUAUGAAGGGCAUAUUCUGAAUAAGAGCGGCCAUGGCCAGAGAGCUUCACAGAAAGAGUUCAGGCUCAGAAGAACUGACUUUGUCAACUAUUUACAGGAACUGACCACAGUUGCCCUUAUUUUCCUGGAUUCACUUUAUGGCCAAAAGCAUGGGAUGGUGAUUUCCUUCAGUCCUGGAGAUAAAUGAUGCUUUCUGGAGGCAGAGCACUGAGGAUUACUUUUACAGAAAUACAGCACACAAAGUAAAUCCCUGUUAGCGUGUCAUUAUUUGAGCAAGUCACAGGCACUGAGGCUGGGAGAUGGACCCUGGACGUACACAACUAAAGAUCUGCUCUCU